ACCUCGUUGGCUCAGUUGGAUUUCAUAGCGCCGGCCUACGAAGCCGGAGGUCGCACGUUCGAUUCGCGCACGAGGUACCA
rnacentral:tRNA from 1 species